UACGUAGGGUGCAAGCGUUGUCCGGAAUUAUUGGGCGUAAAGAGCUCGUAGGCGGUUUGUCGCGUCGAAUGUGAAAACCCGGGGCUCAACCCCGGGCCUGCAGUCGAUACGGGCAAACUGGAGUACUGCAGGGGAGACUGGAAUUCCUGGUGUAGCGGUGAAAUGCGCAGAUAUCAGGAGGAACACCGGUGGCGAAGGCGGGUCUCUGGGCCGAUACUGACGCUGAGGAGCGAAAGCGUGGGGAGCGAACAGG
rnacentral:rRNA from 1 species